rnacentral:rRNA from 1 species
UACGGAGGGUGCAAGCGUUAAUCGGAAUUACUGGGCGUAAAGCGUGCGCAGGCGGUUUUUUAAGUCAGUCGUGAAAGCCCCGCGCUCAACCUGGGAAUUGCGAUUGAGACUGCAAGGCUUGAAUCUGGCAGAGGGGGGUAGAAUUCCACGUGUAGCAGUGAAAUGCGUAGAGAUGUGGAGGAACACCGAUGGCGAAGGCAGCCCCCUGGAUCAAGACUGACGCUCAUGCACGAAAGCGUGGGGAGCAAACAGG